GGCUGUGACGUCAUCCAUGCACCCUGUUACUUUCUGUUUGGAGUUAGCGUAAAAUGUGCUGCUUGUAAAACUUGCCCAAGCUGUUUAUCCACUGGCGGGUCUAUGUGCUUGUUUGGAGAGUUGAAUGUGGACACUUGAGACAGGGCCUGGGCACCCGGGGGCAGACGUGUGACCAAUUAGGUGGUAGGGUCUUCACUGUAGUGGUCUUCUCUGACAUGAGUCGUGGAGUGUGUGCUGUGCUGGUGUGUGUGCACUGAAUGGGGUGCUCUUCAUAGAGGUGAUAUCUUGAGACUGCCCUUGGGUACGCCCAGGAUCCUCUGCAGCCAACGUUAGAAAUUAAUAAAUUGAAGAGUGAUUGCUGGUCAACACCUUUUAUACAAAAGGACUGUCUUUUUAACAAUUAAUAAAUUGUAUGUUUUUUUCAAUCA